GACGAAUGCUGGCGGCGUGCUUAACACAUGCAAGUCGAACGGAAAGGCCCUGCUUGCCGGGUACUCGAGUGGCGAACGGGUGAGUAACACGUGGGUGAUCUGCCCUGCACUUCGGGAUAAGCCUGGGAAACUGAGUCUAAUACCGGAUAGGAGCCAUUUUUAGUGCGAUGGUUGGAAAGUUUUUUCGGUGUAGGAUGAGCUCGCGGCCUAUCAGCUUGUUGGUGGGGUAAUGGCCUACCAAGGCGGCGACGGGUAGCCGGCCUGAGAGGGUGGACGGCCACAUUGGGACUGAGAUACAGCCCAGACUCCUACGGGAGGCAGCAGUGGGGAAUAUUGCACAAUGGGCGCAAGCCUGAUGCAGCGACGCCGCGUGGGGGAUGACGGCCUUCGGGUUGGAAACUCCUUUCGCUAGGGACGAAGCUUUUGUGACGGUACCGAGAUAAGAAGCACCGGCUAACUACGU
rnacentral:rRNA from 1 species